rnacentral:rRNA from 1 species
GAUCAUGGCUCAGGAUGAACGCUAGCUACAGGCUUAACACAUGCAAGUCGAGGGGCAGCAUGAACUUAGCUUGCUAAGUUUGAUGGCGACCGGCGCACGGGUGAGUAACACGUAUCCAACCUGCCGAUGACUCGGGGAUAGCCUUUCGAAAGAAAGAUUAAUACCCGAUGGCAUAGUUCUUCCGCAUGGUAGAACUAUUAAAGAAUUUCGGUCAUCGAUGGGGAUGCGUUCCAUUAGGUUGUUGGCGGGGUAACGGCCCACCAAGCCUUCGAUGGAUAGGGGUUCUGAGAGGAAGGUCCCCCACAUUGGAACUGAGACACGGUCCAAACUCCUACGGGAGGCAGCAGUGAGGAAUAUUGGUCAAUGGGCGCAGGCCUGAACCAGCCAAGUAGCGUGAAGGAUGACUGCCCUAUGGGUUGUAAACUUCUUUUAUAAAGGAAUAAAGUCGGGUAUGUAUACCCGUUUGCAUGUACUUUAUGAAUAAGGAUCGGCUAACUCCGUG